GAUGAACGCUGGCGGCGUGCCUAAUACAUGCAAGUCGAGCGAACGGACGAGAAGCUUGCUUCUCUGAUGUUAGCGGCGGACGGGUGAGUAACACGUGGAUAACCUACCUAUAAGACUGGGAUAACUUCGGGAAACCGGAGCUAAUACCGGAUAAUAUUUUGAACCGCAUGGUUCAAAAGUGAAAGACGGUCUUGCUGUCACUUAUAGAUGGAUCCGCGCUGCAUUAGCUAGUUGGUGAGGUAACGGCUUACCAAGGCAACGAUGCAUAGCCGACCUGAGAGGGUGAUCGGCCACACUGGAACUGAGACACGGUCCAGACUCCUACGGGAGGCAGCAGUAGGGAAUCUUCCGCAAUGGGCGAAAGCCUGACGGGGCAACGCCGCGUGAGUGAUGAAGGUCUUCGGAUCGUAAAACUCUGUUAUUAGGGAAGAACAUAUGUGUAAGUAACUGUGCACAUCUUGACGGCACCUAAUCAGAAAGCCACGGCUAACUACGUG
rnacentral:rRNA from 1 species